AGUGAACGCUGGCGGUAGGCCUAACACAUGCAAGUCGAACGCCCCGCAAGGGGAGUGGCAGACGGGUGAGUAACACGUGGGGAUCUGCCCAAUGGUACGGAAUAAUUCCGGGAAACUGGGACUAAUACCGUAUGUGCCCGCAAGGGGAAAGAUUUAUCGCCAUUGGAUGAACCCGCGUCGGAUUAGCUAGUUGGUGAGGUAAAGGCUCACCAAGGCGACGAUCCGUAGCUGGUCUGAGAGGAUGAUCAGCCACACUGGGACUGAGACACGGCCCAGACUCCUACGGGAGGCAGCAGUGGGGAAUAUUGGACAAUGGGCGCAAGCCUGAUCCAGCCAUGCCGCGUGAGUGAUGAAGGCCUUAGGGUUGUAAAGCUCUUUCGCCGACGAAGAUAAUGACGGUAGUCGGAGAAGAAGCCCCGGCUAACUUCGUGCCAGCCGCCGCAGUAA
rnacentral:rRNA from 1 species